UUCUGGAAUAUACUAGUAUUUAAGACCAUCUCCUCACAACUGAAGGAGACCCUCUGAGCCUGGUCAGGAGCAUGAGGUGAGUGGUGCCACACGAGGGGACAGAUCAAAGCAUCUAUUCACAUUAUAUAUUAUAGAGUCAUGGAAUCACAGGAUCAUAGAAUCAUAGAAUCA
rnacentral:lncRNA from 1 species